AUAAAGGUAGCUUAGUGGACAUGGCAUCUGCCCGGUAAGCGGAACACUGUGGGUUCGAUUCCCAUUCCAGGACACUUUUAUU